rnacentral:rRNA from 1 species
GCGCAGCAGGCGAGAAAACUUCACAAUGUGCGAAAGCACGAUGAGGGAAUCCCAAGUGCUUGCACGUAAGUGUAAGCUGUUUCUCUGUCUAAAACGCAGAGGGAGUAAGGGCUGGGUAAGACGGGUGCCAGCCGCCGCGGUAAUACCUGCAGCUCGAGUGGUGACCGUUAUUAUUGGGCCUAAAACGUCCGUAGCCGGUUUAAUAAAUGCCUGGGUAAAUCGGACCGCUUAACGGUUCGAAUUCCGGGUAGACUGUUAAACUUGAGACCGGGAGAAGUUAGAGGUACUCCUGGGGUAGAGGUGAAAUUCUGUAAUCCUAGGGGGACCACCAGUGGCGAAGGCGUCUAACUAGAACGGGUCUGACGGUGAGGGACGAAGCCCUGGGGCGCAAACGGGGAUUAGAUACCCGUGUAGU